rnacentral:lncRNA from 1 species
CUGACCUAAGUGCAUCUCAGCCUUUUCCAGGUAGACAUCCUGGAAACCUUUCAGCAAAACAGUGAUUUCUCAAAGACUGUUGACCUGUUCAACCUGAAAUAUUUCAUCUGAAAUAUAAUGAGCUCAGUGAAUCUUGGAUGAACGAGAAGCAGGGUUUCCAAAAUGCUUCCAGGAUCUGGAGCACCAGGACAGAGACAGAGUAAAACCAGCUCAAAUAAUUUUAUCGUAAUGCACAUUAUUUUCUGUUAUUGAUUUGUCAUUUAAAAGAGGACUUACUCAUAAGUAAAGGGAGAAGUUGGGUGGCAGUUUGUAAAAGAAAUCAUUUAAAUUUCCAAUCCUAUGCUGGAGGAAAGUAUGUGCUUUUUAUCCUCUAAUUGUUACAGUUUAUAUUCUUAAUCCCAGCCAUUUUUCUUUUGUAAGAGUUUUGUUCAUAUACUUGAAUCCAUCAGUUGGAGGAUUAAGGUUGUUUCUCAACUGCCUUUUCUUAAAUCAGAUUAUAAAAAAAAAACAAACAAAAAAAAACACCUAUGCCAUUAGUGUCAAAUGAAAAGCAGCCAUGCUCUUGCACUUGCAGUAAGAGAGCAGUUUAUGUGAGCUGAACAUUUUUCCUAAUUAAUGAGAAUAUAAUUUCUGGAAGUAUCCUGCUCUUAGCUCUGUAGUUACAGUGGUACCAUACUGUUGCAAAAGGCCAAUAUGGGGAUUUCUCAACAAGCGUCUCUGCUAGCUGUUCUGUUCUGGGGCCUUUCUGGGCCGAAGCACUCUGGGGCUGUGACGCACGUCCAGGCUUAGUAGAGCUGAGCUGCAAUCCCAAGCUUAAUGCAACUGGCAUCAGAGUCUGAUCAGCUUGGCAGAACGUGGAUGUCCACCUGGGCUGCACAGCUCAACCCACACAGACCUACAACUUUGCAAGAGUAUGAGAAACAACAACAGCAAAGCAGACUUUGCAAGAUUUCCCCCAUGCAUGUCAGUCCUUCAGCUGACUUUUCAUUAUACUUGGCCAGUGGUGCAGAAAGGCCCCUUCCAACCCAAACUGUCCUGAGAUUCAGUGAUGGGUCAGCCUGGGAUGGAGCCACCGAUUUGGAAGUUGUUGUGUAUGACUAUCACUGGAAAUUGAAUCGUGAAAUCCAGAGGGAACUGAUCCUCUCAGAUCCUCCAGCGCGGUGCUUGCUUAGAGUCCGCCUGAAGCAUGCACGGAUCCAGAUUUGUGCCUCUUCUCUCCCCACUUCCUUACACCAUGUCAACAUUACCUAGAAAACAUACAGAACAAGAAGGGAAAAAAACAAAUGUAGAACAUCCCAAAGACAUCGUGAAGUGCUGUCUGCUGAAAGUGAAACGGAGAUUGGAUUCAUGAAGUGGAUUAAACCAAUAAAUAUGAUUGCUUCUUUGGAGGCUACA